rnacentral:misc_RNA from 1 species
UCCGGCUUGUCACCGGCAGUUCCUUCAGAGUGCCCGGCCGAACCGCUGGCAACUGAAGGUGAGGGUUGCGCUCGUUGCGGGACUUAACCCAACAUCUCACGAUACGAGCUGACGACAGCCAUGCACCACCUGCGCUGGAUCCCGAAGGAUCACCGUGGUUCCACGACAUUCCCGUGCAUGUCAAGCCUUGGUAAGGUUCUUCGCGUCGCGUCGAAUUAAACAACAUGCUCCGCUGCUUGUGCGGGCCCCCGUCAAUUCCUUUGAGUUUUAGCCUUGCGGCCGUACUCCCCAGGCGGGGUGCUUAAUGCGUUAGCUUCGGCACGGACGGAGUCGACACCGCCCACACCUAGCACCCAUCGUUUACGGCGUGGACUAC